rnacentral:rRNA from 1 species
GUUCGGAUCGCAGGCUGCAACCCGCCUGCGUGAAGUUGGAAUCGCUAGUAAUCGCGGAUCAGCAUGCCGCGGUGAAUACGUUCCCGGGCCUUGUACACACCGCCCGUCACACCAUGAGAGUCGGGAACACCCGAAGUCCGUAGCCUAACCGCAAGGGGGCGCGGCCGAAGGUGGGUUCGAUAAUUGGGGUGAAGUCGUAACAAGGUAAC